AUUGAACGCUGGCGGCAUGCCUUACACAUGCAAGUCGAACGGUAACAGGUCUUCGGAUGCUGACGAGUGGCGAACGGGUGAGUAAUACAUCGGAACGUGCUCGAUCGUGGGGGCUAACGAGUCGAAAGCUUUGCUAAUACCGCAUACGAUCUACGGCUGAAAGCAGGGGACCGCAAUGCCACGCGCGAACGGAGACGCCGAUGGCAAACUAGGUAGUUGGUGGCAUAAAAGCUUACAAAGCCGACGAUAUGUGGCUGGUCGGAGAGGACGACCAGCCACACUGGAACUGAAACACGGCCCAGACUCCUACGGGAGGCAGCAGUGGGGAAUUUUGGACAAUGGGCGAAAGCCUGAUCCAGCCAUGCCGCGUGCAGGAUGAAGGCCUUCGGGUUGUAAACUGCUUUUGUACGGAACGAAAAGACUCUGGUUAAUACCUGGGGUCCAUGACGGUACCGUAAGAAUAAGCACCGGCUAACUACGUGCCAGCCGCCGCCGUAACAC
rnacentral:rRNA from 1 species